rnacentral:rRNA from 1 species
CAGCAGCCACGGGAAUACGUAGGGUGCGAGCGUUAAUCGGAAUUACUGGGCGUAAAGCGUGCGCAGGCGGUUUUGUAAGACAGGCGUGAAAUCCCCGGGCUCAACCUGGGAAUGGCGCUUGUGACUGCAAAGCUAGAGUGCGGCAGAGGGGGAUGGAAUUCCGCGUGUAGCAGUGAAAUGCGUAGAUAUGCGGAGGAACACCGAUGGCGAAGGCAAUCCCCUGGGCCUGCACUGACGCUCAUGCACGAAAGCGUGGGGAGCAAACAGGAUUAGAUACCCCCGUAGUCCCUGUCUCUUAUAU